CCAGACUCACCCCAAUUCUCUCCAUCUCUCGACUCUUCUCCAUUCUUCUUUUCUCUUCUCUCUCGGUACUUCAUCUCUCUUCUUCUCUUUCUUGACUUUUCGGCUAAUUCGUUGAAUUGAUGUCCGAUUAUUACUCUUCUCCUUCUCCUAAACACUGGUAUGUGCGUGUGUGCGUGUAUAGUUGUAUGCAUGGUCUGAUUUUUGAAGAACCCACUUCGGGUCGGGUUUGAUUUCUGAAAAUAUACUUCGUUUUUGAUGAAAUUAGCAUGGGGCUUUGGCUUAAACGAUUAUUAAUUGGUGGAACCCGUGAUUGGAGACCCGAUUCGGGCACCUCCGGGUUUUGCCGCCGCCGGUGAUGAGCUCCGGUGAGCCGGCGGGGGCGAUGAUGCUACUUUGAGUCCAAAAGUAUUCAUAUUAUCUCGUCUAAAUAUGUAAUCCGAGUUACAUGUUGGAUUUUGUAAAAGUUUUGUUGAUGUUUCGAAAAGGGUUUAAUCAGUUUGGUUAUGUGUUGUUGGUAUUUGAUUAAGUGUUUUGUGUUCAUAUGAUGAGUAUAUUAUGUUAUUAUGUGUUUAUAUAUUUUUUUCCAGAAUAAAGUGGAGUGGCUGCUACUGUAAAUCAGUUCGUUCAGGGCUUAUAUGAACUCUGAUUUUAAAAUAAAUGACAUAUUUGAAUUCCUUGUGAAAAAUUAGCUGGAAUAGGCUCUUGAAUCAUGUUAAUCGGAUUAAAAAUGAAUGAGUUAUAGGCGGUCAAAGUUUGGCCAAGCCAGUUGACUUCGAGGAGAGAGAAAUUCUGGUUGAUGUGAUGAAGAAGAUGAUGACGUGGCGAGCUGUCAUUGGCUAGAAUAUUGAAAUUAGUAUUUAAAUUAUUUGAAGGGUUAAAUGAAGGAGUUUGGAGAAGUGUUUAAUAUGAAAAUUUAAGUAAAUGAACUUCCUGAUUUAUUGGAAUAAAAAGAUUUUGGUUUUGAGUUACAAAAUUUUAAUUUAUAAUUUUGGUAUUAGUAAAUGGUGAAAAAUGUGACAACACAGUUGUUGGUUGGUUUUAAAUGAGGCAUAUAUAUAUAUAUAUAUAUAUAUAUAUAUAUAUAUAUUUNNNNNNNNNNNNNNNNNNNNNNNNNNNNNNNNNNNNNNNNNNNNNNNNNNNNNNNNNNNNNNNNNNNNNNNNNNNNNNNNNNNNNNUUUUUAAUAGAAAUUUUUAUUUGAUUAUAAUGUUGUGUUUGGUUGUUGGUGUCGGCUUGAGUCCGACUGGAAGUUGAUAAAACAAAGGAGGUGCUGCCAGAAUUUUUAUAUAUAAUAAUAAUAAUACUUUUUAGAGGCGCACCUAUGUAUUUUAUUAACUUACUUGCUUAUAAUAUAUUAUGUGACAAAUGUGAUUAUGUGUUACGUGUUACAGUUAUAUGUGAUUAUGUCAUGUGUAUUUGUAUGAAGUUUAUAUACGAGUAAAUGAUACGUGAAUCGAUGGGGUAGGUUAGUUUAGACGUCCUAAGUGAAUGUUGAGUAUUGAAAGGGAUACUAAAGUUAGCAUUAUUACGCGUGUAGAUUCGAAAGACGAGGUCGCGAAGCUUAAGAAAGGAAAGGCUCCAUUAGGUGACAGUUAGAGGAUUACUUUAUCAAGUGGAAAACGAGUUGAGGCAAGUAACUUUCCUCUCUCUCUUAAGCAACUUAUUGAUAAAUGAUGAUAAGUACUGUCACCUCUGAACUACCCUUUGAAUUAUGAAAGCCUGAUUUCCUUUCUCAUUGAAUAUAUUGUCUCACUUUUGAACGCGAGCUCUUUCAUGAAGAUCAUGUUUCUGUAUCCAGUAUAUUCUUAUCCUGAAUAUCUAUCUUUUGAUUGAAUAAUAUUUCCUUUCCAUAUGCUUGACCUCCACAAGAAUAUGGAUCUUGUUUCUAUAUUUGAAAUUAAGAAUGAUUUUAAACUUGCAAGUGAUUGCAAGUGUCCAAAUGAUUUGGAAGGUUGGUAAGUUUUUUUUUAAAAACGAAAGAUAUUUUUAAAGAAGAAAGUUUUCCAAUUUAAUGGUUUUCCACGGAAUUCUAUUGAUUGGAGGCGUAAGUGGCCGAGUAACGCCGGUCCAGCUAUUUGAUUAUGAAGACCAGUGAGGGCUGGCACAUUAUGAAGACCAGUGAGGGCUGGCAUUUGAAAGGCCAAAUAAGUUGCCUUUCGGGUACCCUAUUCACGUCCAGAGGGACUGUAAAGUCCGGUAUGGGGAUUGUACGUGGCUGAUCACCCGUGCAAUCCAGAGCGUUAUACACUCCAAUCGAGUAAAAUGUUUUAUGAAAAGAAUUGUCCAGGUGUUGGACUGUUUUGAAAAUGAGAUAUUUUUGUGAUGGAAAAUAAAGUUUUGAUGAAAGGAUUGAUUUGAAGGAAAAUGUUAUGAAAAGGGUAAUUUUACGAAAGUUUUGAAAAGAGGAAUGUUUUAUGAAUUAUUCAUUUACAAAAAUAGUUUUUAUGUAAUGAUCCUGAACUUUGAAUCUCUAUUAUGACCUUUGUAACUUUAGUCUAUAAUCGAAAACUCUCCAUCUUAUUUUGUUGAAUAGUUUAAUUUAUUUGUUCAUUAUAGUUACUUGCUGAGCUUUUGUAGCUCAUUCUGUUGUUUAUCUAACCCUGACAGCUAAGCAAGAGGAAGAUGGCCAGUCCUAGGUGCUCAGUUCGUUAGACUGUCUACAUCCCCCUCUCUGUUUCAUUAGAUUACUUUACCAGCUCAGGUAGAGGACGCUUUGGAUAGUCAGUGGGGAGUAAGUAUGUUAGUAUGGACCGUUGUAAACAGUACCUUUGAGAUGUUUUAUAUAAUUCCAAGUCGGAAUUAUGGUUGAUGCUAUUUAUUAAGGGUUUGUAAUAAGUUUAUAACUUAUUAUUUUGGUUAGUAGUUGUAACUUGUUUCAUACCAUCACCUGUUAAAGAUCCUUGUGGUGUAAAGGGGUUGAGUAUUUAUAUUGCUAAAUCCAGGUUGUGCAUGUUAAAGUUGAUUUGUGACUCCUCAAUCUAGACCCCGGAUUGGGAGGGCGUCACAGUUGGUAUCAGAGCUACAGGUUUUGGUCCCUGAAACAAGUUAUAAUAGGCAGGCCUUAGGAGAACCACAUAAGUUAAUUGUGCGUUCCCAACCCAUAUAGGGUUUCGUUGAGAUUAUUGGAUAUAGUCUUAACGAGUUAAGUUUAUAAGAGUAGAAUAGCGUGUCUGAGUUAGAGUCGAAGACGUUUAGAUGAGCGUCAUUGACUUGUGAUGCCAAGGCUAGGCUUAUAAGGUGUAUAAGUUGGCCAGGUGGAUGGA
rnacentral:lncRNA from 1 species